AAGCUAUCUAGAAGACAGAAUGGCAAAAACUUGAAGCCUUAACCCCUAUGGGGGUAUUUAUAGGCUUCCUUGUGGGCUUAAGUAAUUUGUGCCUAAAUUGAGCUUGAGUCACCUAAUCCAGUCCACUUGGUCCUAAUUAAUUAAUUGUAUUAGGUUUUAAUUAAUUAAUUAACUCAAUCCAAAAAGACAAUUCAUAAGAUUUAGUGUAACCUUGCAUUUUUAUCAAAACACACUUAUGAACUUAAAACCUAAAUCCCUCAAAACAAAAGUGCAACUAUGAUUUAGGAGCUCGAGCAAGGACCAUUGGGACCCAUAAGGAAAUGUUAGUUCCCUCAUAAUCCAAUUUUGAAGUUGAUUCAACAUUCCACCAAAGAGAAUCAACUACACUUCAGUAUCUUAUAUAAUUACAACGAAGCGAAUGUUUGGGUUCGUGACUUACCAUCUACUACAUACAGACUCUCCAUGAACUGGUGUCCAUAGUCUAAUAAGGUAGUAUUAUCACCUAUCAAGAUUACCUCUUCAAUCCUUGAGUUACAAAUCUAAGAUCCAUGUAUUAUGUGAUCAAUUGACAUACUCUAGCUCCAAGGAGCAUAUAUCAAAUUCCACUAAAUGAAAUGCUAUGACCAUAGUCUUCUAGAUCAUGUCUUUUGGAUCACCCCAAUGGGUCACAUAGUUUCAAUCCUAUGAGAUAUCAUGGUGCCUUUAUUAAGAAUAUCUAUUGCCAUCGGCCUCAAUCAACAGUGACCCAAUUCAUAUAAAUAUAUGACCACAUUAGGGUCUCACCCAUAGGUCAAAAUCUGUUGCUAACUUUAGCACAAGUUUAAUAUCCUUUCAAGGUUAAGAGUCCUUUUAGCAUAGUAUCUUGGUGAAUCAUGACAAUUGAUAGUCUUACAUCAUGAUUCACCAUAGAUCCUAUCCAAUGCAUAACCGCAUAUGCUAGUGCCUUCACCAUGAAAAACCUAUCUUGGCGGCCAAGACAAACCACCCUUCUAACUAGGAGGUAGUAUACUACAAUCUUUAUUGGAUUGUCCAAGUCCAGAACCGACUGUGAACUACGUAUCAACUUACAAGGAAACCAUGACUUAUAUCUUAUGUACAAUACAUAAUGUAUCCAAGUCAUGUACACAAUGUAAGAAAUAUGAACGUGUAUGCUUAGAUAAACAAUUAAUGCAUAAGGGAUAAUAAAAGGAAUAAGAUUUAUAAAUAAAUAAAUAUAUUAAUGAGUCUAAAAUUGUUACAUCAUAUCAUGCUUUUGAAGGCUUUAUCCCAAUAUAUAUAUGGUUGAGACUUGGAUGAUACCUAAUUGUCUUUAAGCUCCCAACUUUCGUUUUUGAUUAAUGAAAAAAUCCUUGGAAAAUGAUUUCGUAGUUAUAUGUCUUUCAUGAAUCUAAAAAUUCAUCUCGACUAUUAAAUACAAAUGCCCCUGAUUAUCUCUAAUAAUCAUUACUUCGAUCUUCGAGGUCAACAUAAUAGGACCGAAAUCCUAUGAUGUUAUUCCUUUCUAAUGUAUCCAAAGCAUAAUAUCACAACCUGCUCAAAAUAACCAUUGCUUAGCUUUUAAAGGAGAGUAGGAAGUUUGUAAUUAUGUGGAGUCAUCUACACAUCUUUAUUGGUGGAGUGUAGAAGAUUCUAGAGAAGCCUAAAGACAUCCAUACAUCUCUAUAGAAAAAGGAAAGAUAAGGGAAAGGUGUGAAGUAGUCUAGAAAGUUCCAAAGAUCUCUUGUACAUAUCAUGUUCAUAGCUUUUGUGUAGGAUAUUUUAGAGAAUUCUAGAGUAGAGGGGAACCUUUGAGGGUCUAAGAGCUCCAUAGGUGUCUAUAAAUAUAAGAUGACCUCAUUUGACCAAGACACCAAGCACUUGAGAGCAUUCCUAGCAAUGUAAAGCAUUCUUGUUGAAUUCAAGUUUCAUUCUUCCAAACUCUCUAACUGUUGCUCCCUUUGUUGUUCUUAACUUCCAAGUCGUAUGCAUUGCUUAGCAUAACAAGCUAAGGAUUGGGGAAGGUUAACUUAGUAACGUCAAGUGGCUUGAGUUGUCUAAGUGUCACUUGUGAGUUUAGGAAACACCUAAGUCCGUACCAAUAGGUUUGCUUUGAAAACUCUAAUUUCUUCAAAGUAAUAGCACCGAAGGCAUGACUCAGCCAAUUACAUAUUUAUUGAAAUUGAUUUAAUUAAAUCCAAAGCCUAGGGGACAAAUAAUACAUAUGAUUUUAUUAAUACAUAUUUUAAAGGGCUAAGUUGGUCAGUUGGUUAGCUACCCAUUGAUCACAUAGAAGAUUGGGUUUGAUUCAUGGUCCUGGCUCUCUCCUCUUCUUUCAUUUUAUGGUGUUGAACAAAUUUGUUAGUGUUGACCUGCAAUGACUAGUCAAACAUGGUGAUAAAAUUGCUGAAAAUCCCAAUAAAAUUGGGAUAAAACUGAAAAUUUGCUGAAAUUUCCAAAAAAAAAAAAAAAAAAAAAAACCAAAAAAUAGGUCAUUGGAUAUUUCCUAUUUGUAUAUUAUGUCAAGGUCCACUGACAUACAAUAUUUUGUAGAAAUAUCGCCAAAUAUUGGGCAACAUUUUCAUCCUUGAGUAACAGGAAAUGAUUAGUUUGUUCGUGGUAAACUUAACUGCUUUUGUUGUAUAAUCGAAAAUGAGCUCACAUGAAAAGGAGGGAUGAGAAAUGGGUUUGACAGUACAGUGUUCUAUAAAAGGUAUCAAAGUUGCAUGGUUGUAUGCAAUGCAAAAGGGCCUUGGAUCUCAAGACAAUAUAAAGGAAAAUGUAUGUACUACAUAGGUCUUUCUUAUACUCUUCAAAGACAAUUUCUUUCUUUUGAUCUGCAUAAGCUCCCUUUACUAGAAACUGUUGAAAUGUAGUAAGCAAUAAAAAUUCCAGGCUUCAGCAAGCCUGUAUCUGCUAGAUUCUAGGUUUCUGAAUGUCUAUGAUUCAAA
rnacentral:lncRNA from 1 species